ensembl:snRNA U6 U6 spliceosomal RNA
GUACUCAUUUAUGUAGUACAUAUACUAAAAUUGGAAUGAUACAGAGAAGAUUAGCAUGGCCCCUUCGCAAGGAUAACAACGCAAAUUCAUGAAGCGUACCAUAAAAAG